UUUCCCAGAGAGCAGCUUAGUUCUCUGCACAGCUGAGUUGUCACAAACUUUGCUUCCUUGGUUCAAACACAUGUAGCCUUUUUUCACAGCCGGACAAUGUUUAAUAGCCUGCAUUAUAAAUGUGCAAAAUGUGUUGCUUUACAUUCAGUACAGAUUGUAAUUUGGUCAAUCUUUAGGAUUAAAGUUAAAGUACCCAUGGUUGUCACACACACACUAGGUGUGGCGAAGUUAUUCUAUGCAUUUGACCCAUUACCUUUGAUCACCCCCUGGGAGGUGAGGGGAGCAGUGAGCAGCAGUGUUGGCCGCCGCCAGGAAUCAUUUUUGGCCUGCAGUUAAGUGAGAACCUGCAAAAACCCUGACCUGGGGGAAAUUCUGGGUUUUCCCUUCCAAAAAUUAAGAGCGUGGAUGUGUGCCAAAUGAAUUGCAUCCAUUCCGAGGAGCUGGGCGGGGUUCCUUCCAACUUUGCUGUCGGAGUAAAAUGUCCAGGUCCACUGGUCCCGGGGCCAAUAGAAGUGUGGAAAUUGAUGUUCUGUGAACCUGGCCCCUCCACUUUAUCCUGGAGCAUCUGGACUCCCCAGGAACCUAUGCCAGGAUCCUGUUCGUGGACUUGAGCUCUACCUUCAACACCAUCCUUCCUGGACUGCUAUGAGACAAGUUCUGCCAGCUCAGCGUGCCCGACUCCCUCUGCAGUUGGAUCAAUGACUUCCUGACAGACCGCAGACAGCACGUGAGGCUGGAUAAGAUUAUCUCGGACAGUCGAACCAUGAACACUGGUACUCCUCAGGGCUGUGUACAUUCCCCCUGGCUCUUCUCCCUGUGUACAAACUCCAGUCACCAGUCCGUAAAGCUGCUCAAGUUUGCGGACAACACUACAUACACUUAUCGGGUUCAUCCCGGAAAGCGAUGAGUCCGCCUACAGGAGAGAGGUGGACCGGCUGGCGUCCUGUUGUAGCCUGAACAACCUGCAGCUGAAUGCCCAGAAAACAGUGGAGAUGAUGAUGGACUUUAGGAUAAAGUCAAAGCCCCACCAUCCCCCCCUCAUCCUGAUUGACUCUCCCAUCCCCGUCUACAUUGUGGACUCCUUCUGUUUCUUGGGCACCACCAUCACCCAGGACCGCAAGUGGUAGCCUACCAUCGGCUCCCUCAUCAAGAAGGCCCAGCAGAGGAUGUACUUCCUGCAGCAGCUGAGGAAAAUUAAGGUGUCGAUCGAGAUGCUGGUGCAGUCUUACUCAGCCAUCAUAGAGUCCAUCCUCCCCUCCUCCAUCACCAUGUGGUUCCCCGGCGCCACAGUCCCAGAUAAGCAUCAACUUCAGCGCAUUGUACAUGCUGCUGAGAAGGUGAUUGGCUGUUAACUCCCAGCUCUCCAGGACCUGCACUCCAAGACCAAGAGGCGUGUGGGUCGAAUCACAGCUGACUCUUCUCACCCUGGUCACAAACUAUUCUCCCCUCUCACCUCAGGCAGGAGACUACAGUCCAUCCAGACCCACACCUCCCGCCACUUGAACAGUUUUUCCUCUCGGCCAUCAGGCACGAACAAUAACAAGAUCUGAUAGCUCAGUUACAGCUAAUUUUAUUACCUAUUCUGUUGUUUUAUGUUGCACCAAGAAAAAUUCCUAGUUUGUGAACCCGUUCUCAAAUAAUGGCAAUAAAAAAAGUAUUUUGAUA